GAGCAGCUAGCGUAGGAGAGCAUUUUGGCAUCUACUUUGCACAAUUUCCCCCUCUGCAGCACCACAACAGAUCAGGUUCUCCACACACAGUUAUCAUCUCUCCCAGGGAAGCACCACUGUCUGUGCCCAUGUCCCAUUAGUGGUUUUCUACACUUCCCAGAAACUUCUCCCAGGUCUCAGCCAGUCCUUCCUCCCCAACAACUUGUUGCUUUCACACAGCCUCAUUCAUCCCCAGAGCUCCUUCUUAAGCUUCCUGCUGGCUCCAUCACCUCCUCAGGCAAACACCAUCACCCCUUUC
rnacentral:lncRNA from 12 species